GUGGGGAAUAUUGGACAAUGGGCGCAAGCCUGAUCCAGCCAUGCCGCGUGAGUGAUGAAGGCCCUAGGGUUGUAAAGCUCUUUCACCGGUGAAGAUAAUGACGGUAACCGGAGAAGAAGCCCCGGCUAACUUCGUGCCAGCAGCCGCGGUAAUACGAAGGGGGCUAGCGUUGUUCGGAUUUACUGGGCGUAAAGCGCACGUAGGCGGAUCGUUAAGUCGGGGGUGAAAUCCUGGAGCUCAACUCCAGAACUGCCUUCGAUACUGGCGAUCUUGAGUCCGGAAGAGGUGAGUGGAACUCCUAGUGUAGAGGUGGAAUUCGUAGAUAUUAGGAAGAACACCAGUGGCGAAGGCGGCUCACUGGUCCGGUACUGACGCUGAGGUGCGAAAGCGUGGGGAGCAAACAGGAUUAGAAACCCUUGUAGUCC
rnacentral:rRNA from 1 species